ACUACUUGGAUUUCUAAAAUGGAAAGUGGGUGUAUGCAAAUUAAUCAAGGUGGUCAUGUAUAAUGCCCCACUUAUCUAAUUUUUGAACUAUUAUUUAAAAAACUUACAUUGUUAUCUGGCCAUGAAUCUACAUUUAUGGGUAUUGUAGGCCGUUAAUUACAUCAUUUUAUUAUUAUUUUUGUGGUCUGGCCUCUAGAACUCAAUUUGGAACUGCUUUUCUUGAAUGGAGAAGAAUUCGGUGAUAUUUGCUUGUCGCCUUUUGUGGUGUCAGAUCCACCAUACAUUUGCCAUGCACGCACUUAAAUUUAGAUUGUCCAAAUUGUGGGGCUGGUUGUGGAUGGAGCAUUUCAAAUUGAGCACCAUCCUAUAGCUUGCUAUCAAAUGGAUGCUUGCAGAUGAAGAAACUGUUCAAUAGUCUAAAUUUAACGAAUGAAAUAAGAUGGCUAAGAUCAUUUAAUUAGUUCCGGUAUCUGCCUAUGCCCCACUAUUUCAGUCCAAAUUCCAGAUUGCUGUGCAUUUAUACCAAGUAGAGGAUUUUUUUUUUUUUUUACCAGAUCAUGUGCAUGGUGAAUGAGACAACAGUGAACAAACACUGUAGUCUACUCCUUUGAAAAAAGAGCUGCAUUAAGAUACAUCCUACCAGUCCUUGGAUAUCAUGGCACUUCUUUUUGUGUUCACUGUCUAACAAGAAACACCUUGUGCUGUUGUUCCAAUCUAAGGUUAGUGAAGGGUAGUCUCUUUGUUGUGGGAACCAGGUCCAGCAGGACGGAAGUCCUAUUGCUUUAUUAUUAUUAUUAUUAUUAUUAUUAUUAUUAUUAUUGUUUUGUACUCCAUACUUUAGUUCCAUUUUGCGUGUGUUUAGAUGCACUUUGAACUGCAUUACAAUUCCCUCUUACAAAGUGGGAAUAACCAAAUCAGAGUUCUGUUCUUUCACAUUCAUAUUGAAGGCCUGAGAUCCACAUUGCAGUUUUGCUGAUUUCAAGCUGGAAUUGAGGAAAUGCAAUUGCAAUUUGAGGGCUACUUCCUCGUUUUGAAUGCCAGGAACAUUAGCAACUUUUGGUAUUUCACUUUGGCAUCCAAACACAGCUUUUUAAGUUCUAUCACUAAUGGUGGCUGGCACAAUUUGAACCAUCAAAUUAUAUGUAGUUGUAAAACUUGCCAGAUUAUGAUGGCUGGUUUUUCUGACUACUGUCACCUAGACCAGGAUUUUUGUGCUGUUCUUGGGUGCUCUCAGUCCAUCUAACCCCUACCAUUUGGUAAGUAAUUUUAACAAAUUGAAUCAUAGCCCUUGUUUGAUUUGUAUAGAAGUUCCAUUUAUUUCAACAAUACCAUUGUCACUGCCUUCAAUGCUCAACAUGGGUUUGUGAAGAAAAUCGACAGCAAGUGAAUAAAAAUAACCCAAUAUCACAAUCCUUUGAAAUUCUAGUUUAAGUAAGAUUUCAAAUUAACCUUGCCCAUGGUAGGAUGGUGAUAUGAAACCUGAUUGGGUCAAUGAGAUUGUCAUGGCCAUUAGCAAAACUGGUUUUGAUCAAUCGAACAUCCAGCCUAGCGUAACUGAGUACUGACUGAUGUUUGCAUUUGGUGGAUUGAAGUGCAACGUAAAAGUGGUACCUUAUAGUUAUAUAUUUUGCAUGAUCAUCUUGGUGUUAUUAAGUCAAUUUGAAUUGCCUAAUUACAUUAGAUAAGAACACGAGAAGGAUGUGUUUCUCUGUGAACUGACUGAAGCUUUUGAUGCUUGAUGAUUCAAUUACUUCGUUUUUCAGGAGAGGACUGUUUAAGAGGUGCUAUUUGUUGUUGAAGAUUCCAAUGUGAAAGGCUGCGAUUAGGAGUAGUUUGAGUUCUUUGGAUACUGGAAUUGACAACAAAAGGGGAAUUCCUGAAGUUAUUGAAGACUUUAAGAAAGGCAUUGGGAGUUCUGUCCAAUUGCAUGUAGGUACGCGUACCAAUAUAGCAGAGAAGUAGUUGAUCUGAGCUUUCCAUCAAGUGGGCUACACCAUUUCGAUCUUGCAAGGUACUCUCCCAACUGCAGAUCAGGCCUUAACAGAUUGUUCCAAUUGGUUUGUGUGAGAAUUUCUAACAAUUGCAAUCAACAGUCCAAGGCUCUACGCUGCUCCAAUGCCCAAUUUAAGGGCCUGUUUGGAUUUACGCAUACCAUUGUGUUGUAUUC